rnacentral:rRNA from 1 species
GACAGAGGUGCCGAGCGUUAGGCGGAAUCACUGGGCUUAAAGCGUGUGUAGGCGGAUCGUUAAGUACCUUGUGAAAUCCCAUGGCUCAACCAUGGAACUGCUUGGUAUACUGGCGGUCUUGAGCCAGCUAGGGGCUACCGGAACAAAUGGUGGAGCGGUGAAAUGCGUAGAGAUGUGGAGGAACACCAGUGGCGAAGGCGACUCUUUGGCCUGUAACUGACGCUGAGGCGCGAAAGCGUGGGGAGCAAACAGG